GGAUCGGUCUUGAAAACNGCUAGAGCGUACGGUUCAUACCCGUGAGGUCGGGGGUUCGAUCCCCUCCACCGCCACUA
rnacentral:tRNA from 1 species